AACGAACGCUGGCGGCAUGCCUAACACAUGCAAGUCGAACGAAAACUUCGGGUCUUGUGGCGCACGGGGGCGUCAGGCGUGGGGAGAUGCACUUAGGUAUGGAAUAACUCCCCGACUGGGAUGCUAAUACGAGAUAAUGUCUUCGGACCAAUGAUAUAUUGCCUUUGGAUGGGCCCUCGUUGGAUUAGCUUGUUGGUAGGGUAAACGCCUACCACGGGGACGAUUCAUAGCUGGUCUGAGAGACUGAUUAGCAACUCUGGGGCUGAGACACGGCCCGGACUCCUACGGGAGGCAGCAGUGGGGAACAUAGGACAAUGGGCGGAGGCCUGAUGCAGCACUGCCGCGUAAGUGAUGUUGGCCGGAGGGUAGUAAAGCGCUUUUACCCGGGAUGAUAAUGACGGUACCGGGAGAAUAAGCUCCGGCUAACUCCGUG
rnacentral:rRNA from 1 species